rnacentral:rRNA from 1 species
GUAGAGAUCGGAACGCUAGUUUCGAUGGAGGCAUUGGUGGGAUACUACCCUAGCUGUAUGAACACUCUAACCCGCGCCACUAAUCGUGGCGGGAGACAGUGUCAGGUAGGCAGUUUGACUGGGGCGGGCGCCUCCUAAAAUGUAACGGAGGCGCCCAAAGGGUCCCUCAGAAUGGUUGGAAAUCAUUCGCAGAGUGUAAAGGGAGAAGG